AUCCGCGGAAUACGUGCACUUGCCUCUCAGGGGUUUCGACUUCGCUCGAGUGACGCUAUAAAUUUGCAGCGCCAAAGUGAUAAUGAAAGUGUUUCCUUCCGUUUUGGCCAAACAAUGUGCCAAGGCAAGCGAUGCCAGGCGGGAAAAAAACCCUAAGGAGAAGGGUACAACAAAAUACUUUAGCUAGGGCCACUGUUAAGAUACCCUCCUAUACGCGAGUGAAAAGUUUUUAAUAUGAUUUUCCCUUUUUAUUCGAAUUAUUUUAAUAAUAUAACUGUGUCACAGUGCAUGCGUAGCAUAUAUGAAAA
ensembl:ncRNA lncRNA:CR44464 long non-coding RNA:CR44464